rfam:Pluralibacter gergoviae strain JS81F13 contig_13, whole genome shotgun sequence.
AAACGGAAGCUACACUCUAGCCCUGGCGCCUGUGUCUGCGGAUAUGGCGCCCCGGCCGUGACGAAAGUCACCAGGGUACAGGAAGAAAUGACUGUGCCUCCCAUACUUGGAAAGGUGUACAUGGCCACACAAC